rnacentral:misc_RNA from 1 species
GAUGGAAGAACGUAGCGAAAUGCGAUAAGUAAUGUGAAUUGCAGAAUUCAGUGAAUCAUCGAAUCUUUGAACGCACAUUGCGCCCGGCAGUACUCUGCCGGGCAUGCCUGUUCGAGCGUCAUUUCAACCCUCAAGCCCUGCUUGGUGUUGGGGUCCCACGGCCGCCGUGGGCCCUGAAAGGAAGUGGCGGGCUCGCUACAACUCCGAGCGUAGUAAUUCAUUAUCUCGCUUAGGGCGUUGGGCGGCGCUCCUGCCGUUAAAGAACCAUCUUUAACUCAAGGUUGACCUCGGAUCAGGUAGGAAUACCCGCUGAACUUAAGCAUAUCAAUAAGCGGAGGA